UACGUAGGGUGCAAGCGUUGUCCGGAAUUAUUGGGCGUAAAGAGCUCGUAGGCGGUUUGUUGCGUCGGCUGUGAAAUCCCGAGGCUCAACCUCGGGUCUGCAGUCGAUACGAGCAAACUAGAGUGUUGCAGGGGAGACUGGAAUUCCUGGUGUAGCGGUGAAAUGCGCAGAUAUCAGGAGGAACACCGGUGGCGAAGGCAGCUCGCUGGGACGUUACUGACACUGAGGCGCGAAAGCGUGGGGAGCGAACAGG
rnacentral:rRNA from 1 species